CAAAAUUACUGGAACAAGAGAAAACAGGUUGAAGAAUUUGACCAUCUCCAAAAAUAGCCCUAUGGAGUGCUGAAACUAGCGUGCCUCCUGCAGCAUGCAUUCAUACACAUUGUUGCAGCAAUGUGAAUUUGGUACUGGAGCCUCAUCAUACUGGGACACGUGCAGCUAGUGGUGUUACUUAUUGGCAGAGCGCUGAUUGAGGGUGGGCAGAAUAUCAGGCAUCAUGGAUGAUGCUUACAGUAGCAAGUGACUUUGAAAGCAAAGAAGCCAAGCUGUGUCUGCAGGCAACAGAAAAUACUGGAAACCUCAGCAACUGCAGAAAGGGCAGUCAGAUCCUCUAACGCUGUUUUGGAGGGCCAAUGCAGGCAAUUGACAGGAGAAAAGACAUUCUGUAAUAGAAUUCAAUUGCACCGUAAAACACGCUGCAACAGGUGCCUAUUUACUGAAGCAUCAAUAAUCGAGAAUGACUUCUGUUACUUAAAGGCAACUAGCAACUCUUACACAAGAUGAGUUCUCUGGUUACAGAGAGCCAGAAAGAUUCUGCAGUUAAUUAUCCAGGCUCCUGAUGCUGCUUUGGAGAUGCUGUUCUGAUGGGCAAUGAUGGGCUGAAAAGGAGGCCAUGGAAGAUCACCUGACUUGGUAUGUGGAUUCAAAACUGCCACAUUGUCUUGAAAGUAAAAAGGACGCCUUCCACAUUAAGAAGGUAUCACAAAUGACAAAUGCAAAAUACUGCAGACACUGGCGUGGUGAUCUUUAAGAUAAAGAAACAGUGCUGGAGAAACUCUGAAGGUCCAGCAGUACAUGUAGAGAGAGAUUCAAAGUUAUUGUUUCAAAUCCAACAUAACUCUUGUUGUUGAAAAAGAGGGAAGGGGCAAGUGGAACAAAAAAAAGAAGAGGAAAAGUUUUAGAGAGCAAGAAAUCAAAGGUGUCAUAUAAUAAUGAUAGUUGUAAAGGUUGCAAACAGGAGACAAAGUAAAGGUCAAGAAUCAGUCCAAGAUCUGUCACUAUCCAUCUCCUAAGACCAUCCAAACGUUAUUUCCUGACUUAAAUAGGUCAUUCUGAAACAAUGAUUGUCUCAAAGCCUGAAGAAUAAACAUCUUCAAAUAAUAACCAAGGUUGUGGCUAAUUAACUUAAACCCCAACAUCAUAUUUGGGAAUUGGGACUGUGGUAAACCAUUUAGUAAGGCAGGCCAGUUUCCCUCCUUUUUCAAAGCUUCAAGUGCUGGUUACUGAGAGACAGCAGCAGUAAUAACAGCAGCAAAACCCAUGUCUCAAGAAACAGACAGUACAACUCAAGGUCUCCGGAGCUGCUUCCACUCAAGUCCACCAAUUCAGCAAACCAGCUUUCUGAAUGACUAUUAGGAACUAACUAUGUAUUGGACGGAUAGUUUAUCUCUUCGAGAGAAUCUUGCAAUGACACUGAUAUGUAACUUGGGACAUGAAUUCACGCCCAGACUGCACUUCAGAAAUGAAAAUGUCUUGUCAGGUCUGCAAUGUGUGCCUUCUAAGGCAAGCCAAUCAUGUGAACUACAAACUAUUCCUUGUAAAAGUGUACGAUUCUCUUUAACUACUUGCCUUGAGCGUGUUUGUGUGUGAGAUUUUACGAGUCAGAGGCAACGUAUCAGACUUUUGAAAUGUGAAUAAAUAAUCCCCUUUGUUCAAAACUAUGAAACACUUACUGCAGGUUAUUCAAAUUGUCCACAAAAUUUGGGAUUAAAAUACACAUGAAAAAGCAUAAUGGUUAUGUA